rnacentral:tRNA from 1 species
GGGGUUAUAGCCCAGUGGUAGAACGCAUGCUCAGUAUGCACAAGGUCCUGGGUUCAAGCCCCAGUACCCUCA